GAAAAUUUACACUUGCUUGGUCACAUAGUAUUGAUUUUUAUUUUUGUUCAAGCUAUUAUAAGAAAGUCAUGUGAGAAAAACUCUAAAAAUCAUAUAUAGCAAGUGAUUUUUUGUGUUUGAGAAACAAAAACUGGUUUCACAAAGGGUUUGAUUAAUAGAAUGCAAAUUAUUAAUAUAAUGCAUUAGAAGUUUUUCAUUAUACCCCCCUUAUUAGACAAGGCAGGAAAAAAAAAUUUUAUAUAGCACCUUUCAUACAUAGAGUCAAUUCAAAGUGCUUUACAGAAAGAUUUAAUACUCAAUACAAGUUUAAGACAGUCAUAAGAAAUGAUAAAUUAAAGGGAAAAAAAAACAUUUAUAACAGAACUAAAAUGAAUAAAAUUGAAAUAUAAGAAAUACAUGUAAAACAUAAUUUAUAAUAAUGUUAAAAUUAAAAUAAUAUAAAUAUUUACAUACUUUUAAAAAAACCUCUAAAAUAUCUAUUUUAUUUUAAGCCAUAUAUACUAUCAUUUAAGCUCUUAUUAUACUAUUAUAACACAUACAUAUAUAAAUCCCAAGAGAGAGCAGCAGCAUGUGGAGAAUAAAUACAUAUAAAAAAGCACAUAAAUAAAAUAAAGUAACUAACACACAAUGCUUUCACUUUUAUUUAAUUGGCAAAUAUUUCAUAAAAUUAUGGAAAAUGUAUUAUGUAGUAUUUUUUUUUUUAAUUAGCAGAAGUUUGAGUUUAAACAUCCACAAUUAACACAAUUAAAACGAGUGCAGCUUGCAGCAGCUGUGAUUGGCUGGGCAGUGUUAGGGUGAGCUAAAAGCGAGUGUUCUGAUUGGCUCAGUUCAUCAUUAGUCAAGAUCCUAUUAAACGGCAUCAGCUCUUCCAUUUCCCCCAAUUACUGCUGCUCCUGCUGUUAAUUCACUUAAAUCACAUUAUGCAGAACAAUUUUAAGUUAUAUAUAUUUUUUACAGUGUAAUAAACUGUUGUAUAAACUCUUGCAGUGUCUGUGGCUCCUCCCUCUCUUGCUCUGGACGCAGUGCCAUUGGCUACAGAAAACAGAGGAGAGCAGCAGCCGGUGGACAGCAGGCCGUCUGUCCCCGCUGUAACGGCCGUGGACCCGCCGGAGACGCUCCCCGAGAGGACAUCACUCGCCAGCAAGGCCAGGACCAAGGUCUGACCCUACAGUGUGUGUUUGUUUUGUGUGUGUGAUUCUCUAAAUGCUUUAUUUUUAUUAAGUGUAAUAUUUUAGGAAACAAAUCAUGUUCCUCAUGAUCCAGUUUAAAGUGAACUGAAUUAACUGUGUUUACACCACACACCCAGAGUCAGUUUUAAAUGGUAAAAAAAGCAUUAAACUGGACAUAUACACCCAGAAGAGCCACAGCAACUCCAUGAUGGCUGUUUAAUACACCAACAGCAGUAAAAGCUAUGGAGGAGAAAUUAAAG
rnacentral:lncRNA from 1 species